CUUUUUCCGUUUUCUUAUACUUUUAUUUUGAACUCGAAAUUUUUAACGGCGGAACCACCGUGCCGGUAUUCUCCUUCCGCCGUCGUAUUCUUCUCCUUCAAAGUUUUGUUGUGCGGUUGGUGGAUUAUUGUGUUAUUGUUUGGACUGCUGAUCACCCUCCCCUGUGCUUGCCGCGAGCUUCACUACCUUAGGCAGCUUCUUCGCCGGUUCGAACUCGGGAGAGGCAUGCUAUCAAUCUUGCAGUUGUAGUUGUAAUGCGAAAUUGGGAAAUUUAAGGCAAGGAGACACUGGUCCUGGUCAUUGCAUUGUCAGGUACUUGGUGAGUUAGAUCUUGAUAGUUUCAAAUAAGUAAAGUGGGGAUAUCAUUCAUAAAGAAUGGUAUUGAUAAAACAACACUGCUGUUUAUGUUAAAAGAGUAAACAUGGUUCCAUGUCAUGAUAUAGAAAUUGGCUUUGUGUGUCCUUUUCUUUUAUAAAGUAGAUAGUGAGUUUGUUCUCAUCAUAGCGUUUAUUGUUGAUUGCCGAAAAACAUGUAAGAAAUAAUUAGGAGUAUGUUAAAACCAAAUUAAAGUGAUGCAAAAUGGACAUGACAUUGUAUAUCCUUAAACAUGCCAAGUGUAGAAGGGAAGUAGAUUAAGACAUUGAAGAUUAACUAAAUUACAUGAUUAGUGAGAUUGAUUGAGAUUAUUUUUCACCAACAUGUGUGAUACUUUGAGCAGUGACAAGAAAUAUUAUUCUUAUUUGAAAUUUGAAGGCAAAAGUUUCACUGAAAAGUGAAUUGUUUAAAGGCAUGUUUUCAGAGUUUAAUCAUAAGUAAAUGGUAGCUUCCUUUACAUGAAUAUAUAGAUUCUAAGGUUAAAGUGAUUGUUCGCAAAUAUAAAUAAUGCAAAGAACAUAAAGAUAGCAUGCAAAGAGAUAUACUGCAUUGAGUAAUUUCACAAUCCAAUUGAGUAUGUGCUGAUGGAAAAAAAAUUAAAAUUCUUUGUUUCUAGAUUUUGACAAUUGUGGUUGACAUAACUACAUCUUGAUUGUAAAUUUAACUUACUAAUUAAUUUUCAUUUACAACUAACAUUUUUUUGAUAAUAUUUAGUGCUUAGUGUUAAAUUAUAAUUUGCGGGAAGUUGUUCUUGUAGUCUCUAAACUAAUUUUCAAGAAUUUUUCAAGAAAACACUAAAGUUCAUCCUCCAUUUUAAGCUAAGAGUAACCAUGGGAGAAACUCCACCAUAUAUACACUAUAGAUAAGCACCAAUUAAAUACACUAUAAGGACUAGAGAGAAAAAUGCAGCCAUGGGGAAACUCCAAUUUUAAGGUUUGGUAGUAUUUUUUUGGAGUUAUUGUAGAGAAUAGAUUUUAAUAGUUUAGAGCAUUGUUAGUAAUUGGUUAACUCGGUUAGUUAGUUAGUUAUAGUUAGUUUCAAGUUUUAGAAAUUUUUCUAAAAGAAGUUACUUGAUGUGCAAGUAACAACUGACUAUGGCUAUAUAGCUCUAUGUGUAUCAAUAACAACUACUCCUUAUCUCAUUCAAUUAAUCUCUACACUCUCACUCAAUUCCGUAUACUUCUCUUCUCUCAAUCUUCUCCCUCUCAUAACGAUUAUCUCCAACAAAUUGGUAUCAAGAGCAAGAACGAUCUUAUGGAUUUAAGUGAUUGCAAGUGAGUUCAAUCAUGGUGGGUCAUGGAAACUUCGCAACCCACUUACCAGUUCUUGAUGGAAAGAAUUGGGAUAAAUGGGUGACUCAAAUGAAAGUCAUUUUUGGUGCACAAGAUGCUGAUUGUGAUAUGGUGGAAAUUGGUUUAGAAGCUUUACCCGAAGAUGCAAGUGAAGCACAAAGGAAAGACUUCAAAGAAAACAAGAGAAUAUAUUGCAAUGUAUUGUUCCGCAGCCAUCAAUGCAUGGAUUCAAAGGUCUUUGAAAAGAUCUCUAGUGAAACCAACUCAUAGGCCUCAUGGGAUAAGUUGGAAAGAUACUAUGGUGGUGACGCCAAAGUCAAGAAAGUUAAGUUGCAAUAUUUAAGAAAAAAACUUGAGAUAUUCAGAUGAAGAAUGACGAGAAAAUAGAUGUCUACAUCUUAAUAUUACUAAUUCUUACAAGCCAAGUGAAGUAGUAUGGUGAAGUUCAUGAAGUUGAGAAGGAAACUUUGAGUUAUGAUUUUUGAUAGCUUGAAUUAAGAAGAAUGUUCAGAAUAAUUCAAGCCUUUAAUAUUAGAACUUUGUUAGUAGUUAGUUAUGAAUAAAUAAUUUAGUUAGUUAG